GAUGAACGCUGGCGGCGUGCCUAAUACAUGCAAGUCGAGCGAACAGACGAGGAGCUUGCUCCUCUGACGUUAGCGGCGGACGGGUGAGUAACACGUGGAUAACCUACCUAUAAGACUGGGAUAACUUCGGGAAACCGGAGCUAAUACCGGAUAACAUGUUGAACCGCAUGGUUCAACAGUGAAAGACGGUCUUGCUGUCACUUAUAGAUGGAUCCGCGCCGCAUUAGCUAGUUGGUAAGGUAACGGCUUACCAAGGCAACGAUGCGUAGCCGACCUGAGAGGGUGAUCGGCCACACUGGAACUGAGACACGGUCCAGACUCUUACGGGAGGCAGCAGUAGGGAAUCUUCCGCAAUGGGCGAAAGCCUGACGGAGCAACGCCGCGUGAGUGAAGAAGGUCUUCGGAUCGUAAAACUCUGUUAUUAGGGAAGAACAAAUGUGUAAGUAACUAUGCACGUCUUGACGGUACCUAAUCAGAAAGCCACGGCUAACUACGUG
rnacentral:rRNA from 1 species